GAUGAACGCUGGCGGCGUGCCUAAUACAUGCAAGUCGAGCGAACAGACGAGGAGCUUGCUCCUCUGACGUUAGCGGCGGACGGGUGAGUAACACGUGGAUAACCUACCUAUAAGACUGGGAUAACUUCGGGAAACCGGAGCUAAUACCGGAUAAUAUAUUGAACCGCAUGGUUCAAUAGUGAAAGACGGUUUUGCUGUCACUUAUAGAUGGAUCCGCGCCGCAUUAGCUAGUUGGUAAGGUAACGGCUUACCAAGGCAACGAUGCGUAGCCGACCUGAGAGGGUGAUCGGCCACACUGGAACUGAGACACGGUCCAGACUCCUACGGGAGGCAGCAGUAGGGAAUCUUCCGCAAUGGGCGAAAGCCUGACGGAGCAACGCCGCGUGAGUGAUGAAGGUCUUCGGAUCGUAAAACUCUGUUAUUAGGGAAGAACAAAUGUGUAAGUAACUAUGCACGUCUUGACGGAACCUAAUCAGAAAGCCACGGCUAACUACGUG
rnacentral:rRNA from 1 species